AGAACGAACGCUGGCGGCGUGUUUAAGACAUGCAAGUCGCACGGGACUUUUCCAAGUAGCAAUACGAGGGAAAGUCUAGUGGCGCACGGGUGAGUAACACGUGAAUUACAUGCCCUUCAGUGGGGAAUAGCCCAGGGAAACUUGGAUUAAUACCCCAUGGCAUCGCGAGAUUAAAGGUGGCCGCAAGGCUGCCGCUGAAGGAUUGGUUCGCGCCCUAUCAGCUUGUGGCGGGGUAACGGCCCACCAAGGCUACGACGGGUACCUGGUCUGAGAGGACGAUCAGGCACACUGGAACUGAGACACGGUCCAGACACCUACGGGUGCAGCAGUCGAGAAUAAUUCGAACAAUGGGGGCAACCCUGAUGGUGCAACGCGCGUGAGGAUGACGCUUCGGAUUGAAACUCCUGUCAGUCCGGAGCAAAGACCUAGACGGUAAAUAGACCGACGAGGUUAGAUAAGUACCGGAAAGGAGGAAGGGACGCUAAACUUCGCGCCAGCAGCCG
rnacentral:rRNA from 1 species